GCUCCACCAGUCACAGGGGCAGAGCAGAUCCUGGGUGUGAAGAACUGGGGGAUGCUCCUGCAGCUCUUGGCAAGUCACCACCAGUCUCACACUACCUUAUAUGAAGCAGUUGCUUGGGCCAAAAACGUUUUCCAGAAGAGGGCACUGGAAAAGCGUUUGUUGGUAGGAGAAGACUGUGGCCAUACCUUCCUGGUAUUUCUCCUCCUCACUUUCUCUCCACACAGGGCUCUUGCUGCUGUGGAGGGACAGGGGAUGGGGAGGGCUCUCUGACUUCCCUGUAGCUGUCAAUGUCUCCUACAUCCUGCAGUACAGCAGCAGCAGCCCGGUGGGCCCUCACUCUGCUGAUUAAUGGGUGUCCUAGAUCUUACAGACCCUUGUAUUUGGGACAAGCUGGAGCCAAGCCCAGGUUCCUUGAGCUUUGGGCGUGUGGGGAGAGCUGCCCAGUGAGAGAGAGAUGAAGUGGCCAGCACCACCACAGCAGCUGGAGAAAACCUCAAGGCCACGAACUGCUGCUCCCAGCUUUACUUGUGCAAAGCAUCAGUGGAUAAGAACAAGAAGGUCCUUCACUGGGAGGAACAGUUUUGGGGUUUUUUACCAUGAAGGAUCCAAAAUGCUGCAUUUUUUCAGAAUUCACCCAUGGUAUUCAACUAUUGAAUGCUUUUUCUUGAGUAGACUGCUUUCCACUUCGAUUUAAGAGGGGAAAUAGGCCCUCAGCCAAAAACAGGAAGAACAGCCAAAUACUUUCAGUCUUGGAUAUGUUUAUAUGAAGAAACACAACAAGAAAGAACAAAAGUAAGGUCUUCCUCCAGGACACGGACACAGUUUGUCUUUCUUUUGGAAGGAUUUCAGUGAAGAGAGUGAAAUGGCUGCCUCCCCUUGUUCAGAACUCCCUUGGUUUUCUGCAUAAGGUUAAAACAGAGCCUUUUGUACAGACUCCCCCUUGCCCAUGGAUGGUUUUGCUAUGAUGGUUUUGCUAUCUGAAUGACAGUCCCAUAGAUUUCUUUAGAAAAAGAAAUCUGAAGAUCUACUUCUUCAACAAACUGCAGACUACCAUAAUUUUGGGCCAAAUUCAACUGAUGCUACAGAGAAGAGAAUGCAGAAGUAGCACAGACUCUCCUCUUAACUCAUUUGGGAAGCACAGGCUGUUCUGAGGGUGACUUUUUCACUGUCAAACUUUAAUAUUAAAACCAUGGUUGAGGAAUACUUUUUUUUUUUUUAAUUUGCCUUAUUGCUAAUGUAUUAUGUAAUGCUAAUGUCCUGCUAUAAAAAGAUGUUGUGAUUUGCACUUCUCCCCAUGCAGCCAAACUUGUGGGGUUUGAGUAGCAGGCACAUCAGGCCUGGCCAUUACCAUAUAGGCUGUAACUAUGGUCCAAGUGAUUCCCAACCACCAAAGAUCAGUAAUAUUACACUGUAGCUUUAGGAGGGUCAUUAUGACUGUAUGCUGCUGCUGAGCCUGAUAGACCUCUGUUCCUCCAAAUCGCUCCAUCACAGUGAACUUCUCAUCUCUGCUAUAGAGAUCCUUGGGAAGCAAACCAAACCCCGCUGAAUGGGCUGCUAGACCCCACAGAGGAGAAGGUCAGCAGCAGAGUUUGUGCCUGUUGAUGACACCCCUUUCCAGUGAGCACAGAUGGACACAGAGAAGAAUAUUCAGACAAAUAAAAGGCUGGAUUCUGUUUAUUUAUGAGAUUGUGUUUGCUUCUUUCUUGACUGAAGCUUUAACAUGCAAGUCAAGCAAGGCCAGAACAUUUCAGAAAUACAGUUCCCAAGAACUGUAAGAAUGAUGUCAGGAAAGUAUUUCUUUAUAUGUUUAUAUGAUUAUAUAUUCAAAUAUAUGCAUACAUAUUUGGCUAGAAUGAGAUAAACUCAUAAUACAUGACAAGCCAGAAAAAGUGUACCUAUAGCUGUGCACAUACCUAUGAAUGUACAAAUAUACUAACCUGGAUAAAUAAACAUAGAGAAUAAAAGAUGGAAAAGAACAUGAAGAGAAUCAAGAAAGAUGCAAUACAAAGAAUGGCAAGAGACAAGCAAGAAAUCCAUGGAGUAAUUGAAGUUGUAAAUGUGACUUACAUCAUACAUCCCAUCUGGCCACGAUCCUCUUUCCUUCUGAGAAGGGAACAGAGGGAACAGUGUUGAACACUACAAGAACCUGGUUCAGAUACAGAUCUGCAAGGUCUUACAGCAAUGCCCAAAUGUGAUGUCUGAGAAUGGGUACUGGACUGGUCUCUUUUGCACAGCCCUAGAUCUGGAACAGCGUUCCUGGAGUCCGUGAAGUUACUUCAGAACUGUACCAGUGCAAGCAGAGAUAAAAAUCUUCUGAGGAUUUAUGUAAUCCUAGAAAAGGAUUUGGUCAAAGGAAACAAAGCAAAAACAAAGGAAGAAUGUGAGCAUUUUGCUUCACACCCUUUGAAGCGUUGUGUCUUCUACAAGGGAGUAACCUAAUCCACAUUUAUACCCAUGUUUUUCUUCCACAAUUUACUCCAGAGAUUUUCCUUAAACAAUAAAUAGGAAGUACUCUCACAUACAGCUGUGCAGGAUAUCUAGUUCACAAGCCAUUUUUCCAGGGUGGGAGCUCGUCCGUUAGGCAUCACAGUCAUGGAAAAGAAAAUACUGAAUGUGAUGCAGGAAGCAACAUUGCUGGCUUUCUCAUUUAGCAUCCUUUCUAUACCAGAGUUGGACAAGAUAUCCCUAGGUGACUACCUGGAUGAAAAUGAGUUGUGUUCCAGAUACUUUGACCCAGGGAAAGUGCCAUCAACCUCCCAGCAGUGGUCCUGUUAACUUUGUGAUGAGCUUUGCAAAAUAAAAUGCAGACCACCUGAAGUUGCUCAGCAGCAGCACUUAAUUUUGGAGAUUAUUCCUUAAGAAUGUACCUGAUAACACUGAUGCUCCUAAGAUGAUUUUCCAGAAGGUCCUGAUCUGGACAGAGAUGCA
rnacentral:lncRNA from 1 species